ACAAAGACAAACCUGUGUGCCUUGCUGAUA
rnacentral:piRNA from 1 species